GGUAAAGUGGCUGAGUGCUUAGGCGGUAAGCUGUAGUCUUAUCUAUGGGGGUUCGAUUCCCCCCCUUACCA
rnacentral:tRNA from 1 species